CUUGUGAACACCGUGCUUCAUCUUCGAUCAAAAGAAGUGUUCAUGCAACAUAUUAUAAGUUUUAUUAAUCCCAAAAUGUCUCAUUAAGCCACCACCAAAUUAGACUAGCUCCAAAGAUAAAUUGUAUUGCGUAUUUUAAUGCAUACGUGUUUCCCUUGAGCAUGUCAUAAUUAUGAUUGUUAUGCUAUCCAAUGUCGUGUUAUGCCAUGUUUAUAAGCUAGACUAUAGUGUGACUAUACUAUGUAUAAUAAUAUGUUAUUAUGAUGAUAAUCUAUGAUGUGUUAGGACGUGGAUAUGAAAGAUUUGAUAAGAAUUAUGUCUGCAUAAUUACGUUAUAAAUGGAAUUGGAGGCACUUUCUCUUCAUGGUGUCUGAAAGCACAUUAGUGAGUGCUAGUCCAUUGAGACAGGCCUAGGCAAUACAUGAGCCCUCAGGUGGGUCCUCGUGCUCGUGGUUCGGUCGUGUGUAGAAAAGUACUAUACAUCCAACCUUGCCGGAACUGGAAAGCUACCUAAGGCAAUGCCAUUAGAACCUAUCAUGUCACAUGUGUAAACGUUAGGCACAAAGGUCGGAUGGCGACGCCGUGACGAAAGCCAUGGAACUAGAGGUUAAUAUCGAAAUCGAGAAAAUACAGGCAAAUAUAGGUCAAACAAAUGGAAAAAGAAGUAUCACUCGUUGGUUAUGGACCAACAUAUGCACAAAUAUCAUGCACGACUACAUACGCGCAGAGGCGGUCGCAUGCGUAAAGGUGGUAUGAAUCUCAAAUUGGGUCAGACACAUAGGGUGCAGGUCACGAUUUGAGUCGGACACAGACAAUCGAGUCUGAAAUUUGUAACUUGUGUGUCGUCAAUGA